GAUGAACGCUGGCGGCGUGCCUAAUACAUGCAAGUUGAGCGAACAGACGAGGAGCUUGCUCCUCUGACGUUAGCGGCGGACGGGUGAGUAACACGUGGAUAAUCUACCUAUAAGACUGGGAUAACUUCGGGAAACCGGAGCUAAUACCGGAUAAUAUAUUGAACCGCAUGGUUCAAUAGUGAAAGACGGUUUUGCUGUCACUUAUAGAUGGAUCCGCGCCGCAUUAGCUAGUUGGUAAGGUAACGGCUUACCAAGGCAACGAUGCGUAGCCGACCUGAGAGGGUGAUCGGCCACACUGGAACUGAGACACGGUCCAGACUCCUACGGGAGGCAGCAGUAGGGAAUCUUCCGCAAUGGGCGAAAGCUUGACGGAGCAACGCCGCGUGAGUGAUGAAGGUCUUCGGAUCGUAAAACUCUGUUAUUAGGGAAGAACAAAUGUGUAAGUAACUAUGCACGUCUUGACGGUACCUAAUCAGAAAGCCACGGCUAACUACGUG
rnacentral:rRNA from 1 species